AUACUCUGGUUUCUCUUCAGAGCCUAUAAAUCUUUCACCUUUUACUAAAGAUUUCUGUGGAAAGAAACAGCUCUGAAUCAUAGCCCAAUUUUUUAAAAUAUUUAUUUAUGUAUA